rnacentral:rRNA from 1 species
CAGACGGGAGGCAGAAGGGAGGAAGAGGGGGAAAGGGGAGGAAGAGGGAAGCAGCCAAGGAGCGUGCGGGAUGAAGGCCCUACGGGUCGUAAACCGCUUUUGCACGGGGAUAACACCCUCCACUUGUGGAGGUCUGCAGGUACCGUGCGAAUAAGGGCCGGCUAAUUCCGUGCCAGCAGCCGCGGUAAUACGGAAGGCCCGAGCGUUAUCCGGAUUCAUUGGGCUUAAAGGGAGCGUAGGCGGGCGUUCAAGUCAGCUGUAAAAUCGCGCGGCUCAACCGCGCCCCGCAGUUGAAACUGGACGCCUUGAGUUCACAACAGGCAGGCGGAAUUCGUGGUGUAGCGGUGAAAUGCAUAGAUAUCACGAGGAACCCCGAUUGCGAAGGCAGCCUGCCGGGGUGCGACUGACGCUGAGGCUCGAAGGUGCGGGUAUCAAACAGGAUUAGAUACCCUAGUAGUC